GGAAUUUUGCCCAAUGAGCGAAAGCCUGAUCCAGCAACGCCGCGUGGAGGAUGAAAGCCUUCGGGUUGUAAACUCCUGUCAGGUGGAACGAAAGCUGCGGGGCUAAUACCCUUGCAGUUUGACGGUACUACCAGAGGAAGCCCCGGCUAACUCCGUGCCAGCAGCCGCGGUAAUACGGAGGGGGCGAGCGUUAUUCGGAAUCAUUGGGCGUAAAGGGCGCGUAGGCGGCUUAGCAAGUCAGGGGUGAAAUCCCUCGGCUCAACCGAGGAACUGCCUCUGAAACUGCUUCGCUUGAGGCCGGGAGAGGGUAGUGGAAUUCCCAGUGUAGCGGUGAAAUGCGUAGAUAUUGGGAGGAACACCAGUGGCGAAGGCGGCUACCUGGACCGGUUCUGACGCUGAGGCGCGAAAGCGUGGGGAGCA
rnacentral:rRNA from 1 species